rnacentral:lncRNA from 1 species
AAGAAGGGAGUGCCAAUUGGGAGCCCUAUGGCUGCCCCACUUGCUGAACUGGUGUUAAGACAAGCGGAAGCUGAAGCCCUUGAUAUGUUCAGAGAUGGCAUGAAAUUCUACCUAAGAUACAUCAAUGACGUAAUAACAGUCUGGAGGCAAGGGUUCAAUCCAAAAACCUUAGAAAAAAAGGACGACUAUUGCAGCAUACGGCCUAACUUUGAACCAUCAGCAUAAAGAUAUGGAAAAGGCACAUUUUUUGGAUAUAGAGCUAGAACUACAUGAUAAAGAGCUCACUACCACAGUUUACAGAAAACUAAUGUAUGAACCCGUCAUUAUCCCCGAAAGUCCCCCAAUAUCCUACAAGCUCUCUGCCUUUAGGUUUUAUUUUAAAAGGGCUGAACUCUACAACAAUAAGCAGGAGGAAAAAGAAAAGGAACUGGCAUAUAUCUACCAAACUGGCUACAUAUAU